rnacentral:rRNA from 1 species
AGAGUUUGAUUCUGGCUCAGAACGAACGCUGGCAGCGUGGAUUAGGCAUGCAAGUCGAACGGGAAGCCCGGCAUUCAAUCUUUCGGGAGAGAAAGCUGGGUGGAGAGUGGCGAAAGGGUGAGUAACGCGUGGGCAACCUGCCUCAUAGUCUGGAAUAACCCGCCGAAAGGAGGGCUAAUGCCGGAUGUGGUCUUUCACGGCAUCGUGAGACGACUAAAGAUGGGGACCCUUCGGGGCCUGUCGCUAAGGGAGGGGCCCGCGUCCCAUCAGCUUGUUGGUGAGGUAACGGCUCACCAAGGCUUACGGGUAGCUGGUCUGAGAGGAUGGUCAGCCACACUGGGACUGAGACACUGCCCAGACUCCUACGGGAGGCUGCAGUCGAGAAUCAUUUGCAAUGCGCGAAAGCGUGACAAUGCGACGCUGCGUGGAGGAUGACGGCCUUCGGGUUGUAAACUCCUGUCAUGUGGGAACAAUGACACGGUCGCUAAUACCGGCCGUGUGUGAGGGUACCACAAGAGGAAGCCACGGCUAACUCUGUGCCAGCAGCCGCGGUAAUACAGAGGUGGCAAGCGUUGUUCGGAUUUACUGGGCGUAAAGAGUGCGUAGGCGGUCCUGGCAGUCGGGUGUGAAAUCCCGCCGCUCAACGGCGGAACUGCAUCCGAAACUUCAGGACUUGAGUGCAGGAGGGGAGAGCGGAAUUCUGGGUGUAGCGGUGAAAUGCGUUGAUAUCCAGAAGAACACCGGCGGCGAAGGCGGCUCUCUGGAAUGCUACUGACGCUGAGGCACGAAAGCUGGGGGAGCAAACAGGAUUAGAUACCCUGGUAGUCCCAGCCGUAAACGGUGUGCACUUGGUGUGGGAGGUCUUGACCCCUUCCGUGCCGGAGCUAACGUGUUAAGUGCACCGCCUGGGGAGUACGGCCGCAAGGCUAAAACUCAAAGAAAUUGACGGGGGCCCGCACAAGCGGAGGAGCAUGUGGCUUAAUUCGAUGCAACGCGAAGAACCUUACCAGGGCUUGACAUGCAGCUGCACGCCCCCUGAAAGGGGGGAAGCCUUCGAGGGUGCUGCACAGGUGCUGCAUGGCUGUCGUCAGUUCGUGCCGUGAGGUGUUGGGUUAAGUCCCGCAACGAACGCGACCCCUGUGUCUAGUUGCCACCGUCGGUGAUGAGCCGGCGAGCACUCUAGACAGACUGCCCGUACAAGCGGGAGGAAGGUGGGGACGACGUCAAGUCAGUAUGGCCCUUACGCUCUGGGCUGCACACGUGCUACAAUGGUCGGUACAAUAGGACGCAAUACCGCGAGGUGGAGCAAAUCCCCAAAACUGGCCUCAGUUCGGAUUGGAGUCUGCAAUUCGACUCCAUGAAGCUGGAUUCGCUAGUAACGGCGCAUCAGCUACGGCGCCGUGAAUACGUUCCCGGGCCUUGUACACACCGCCCGUCACAUCAUGAAAGCCGUCUGCACCCGAAGUCAUUGAUCCAACCCCUCACGGGGAGGUAAGUGCCGAAGGUGUGGGUGGUGAUUGGGAUGAAGUCGUAACAAGGUA